AGGAGCCUGAAGUGAACGCCACAAGAUAAGAUUCAAGGGGGAAAUGAACUAACCAGGAAGCUAGAUACUAAAAACUAAGGGGGUGGGAUUAGAAAGGAAACUUAUGCUUUAGGGAGUAAGAGGCUAAAAUAUAGAUAGAUAUGUGACUUUGAGUUCAUCAGUGCCGCUGAGAUGUCUUACAGAAGAGAAAAACUCAAGUCCAUACAUGACCACAUGAAGUUGCCUACCAGCUUAGACUUUCUAUUUUAAAACAUCAUUACUAUUACUAAGUGUGUUUAUGUGUCCAUAAUGAGGGGGGCAUGUGGGGAAUUGUGUGUGAGAAACUUUCCUAGUGAAACUAUAGCCAAUCUUUGCUACUUUGUGAGUUCCUUUUUCCCCCCCACUGUUUAUCUACCCCCAACCCCUGUUUCACCCCCAUCACUAGAGAGGAAGAAAAGAAAGAUAGAGGGGGGAGAAAGAGAUAAGAGAUAUUUGAAUUUAAUUUCUCAUAACAAAGAGCAACCUGAAUAACCAGCGACCAUCAACCUCACCUCUCAGGGUGCUUGACGUGGAAGCUAGAAGGUUCUUUGGAAAGUCAGUUGUGUCGGACAUGAAGGAAUGUUUCACUGAAGCAGACACAGGUGAAAGGCUAAGGUAGACUCUGAAGGAACAUUUUGCUGAACUGUUUCACAGUUCACAGGAGAAAGGAUGUUCUGUUAAAGUAAGAGCGUGAUGAAGAAUUUUUUUUUGUUACCGACACGCAUGAAUUGGUCUGCCUUACAUCGCAUAGUUGAGCUCCAUUUGUUGGGACUCCGUAGAGAGAAAUGGUGGCAAAAAGCUUCUGGUGGUGUGCUGAAGUUUCUUGUAUGCUUCUGAGGACUCAGGCGGAUUGGCAGAGUGAUGGAAGAUGGGACAGAUGCACAUGCUGAGGUAAGACUUGUGCUGAGGCAAGACCAGUGGAGGACAUGUGAUGUUUGGAGGGCAUGAAAAGGACUCCAUGGGUGAGUGACUGGAGCUAGCUUGGCUUGCCUUGUAGAACUAUCUCUCUGCAACACUUGUUGGUCAUGUUCUCCCUGAUCUUCACUUUGCUAAGAGAGGCACAGCUGAGGACUUUUCCUGUUGGCCCUGAUCCCUCCUGCUGACUUGUGCCAAGGCUGAGAGGCCUGCCUGUCUCUGCUAGGUAGUGCCACAACUGCUGACUGGUGUUUGCUAACCAGAUUCUACUGAACUGGACUGCUGGUGUAUCUGUGAAGUGUUGGUGAGUGAAUGGAGUUGCCUCCAUUGGCUUGUGAACUGAACUGCUGAUUGCCAAACAACCCAGAUGGGAGUUGCUCCAAAGAACCCUUUCUAAACAGGUCCACUUCCCCCGUACCCUUUCUUUCCCACUACCUGAGGUGGGUGGUGGGCUAAAAGGGAGGUUAAAGCAUUUAAGAACCAUCAUUAAAAGUAGCCAUUGGAAAAAAUUAGUUACAGGUCCUUCCAUCUAUAUACCUUCUGAAAAGUUCCCAGAAUUUCAAAUGCCACAAACUCAUGCCUCUGCUAGAGCAUGAGGCAAAUCAUAGUCAGCUGCUGCUGUAGACAGUUUGAAGCAACCCCAUAUCCCAUACCUGGGAUUAAACAAAACCACAUUCUUAUAAUAUAUUUCUGUGGUUUUUGUUUGUUUUUUUAAGAAACCAAGACUCCAAACUUGUCUCUACAGGAGAUACAACAUGCAUACCCCAAGAAAGGAACCGAUGGUGUGCCAAAGUAACAAUCGCACCAAAGUCCAAUUUGAUGAUCCGAUGAGUUUCAUGGGGGUUCCUGACAGGAGCCUGUGCUAGGGGACACCCAAGUAGGGAUGACUCGAAAGCAGUUGCAUCAUGGAGAAGCACGCACAGGCAAACAUGGUACUGGAGGAGCCACGAGUUCUACCUACAUCUUGAUCCGAAGACAGCAGGAAAGAUCUGCCUCUGGGUGGAGCCUACGCAUAGGAAUCCUCAGGUCCACCUACAUAGUGACACACUUCCUCCAACAAGGCCACACCUCCUCCAAUAAGGCCACACCGCCGAAUACUGACGCUCCCCAUGGGGAAGCAUUCAAAUAUAUGAGUCGAUGGGGACCAAACCUAUGCAAACCACCACAAACAGCAAAUGCUGUUACCCCUGAACUGCUUGCUUCGAAGUAAAGAAAAACAAUGUAUUUGAUGUAAGCCACUGUUAUUUUUUUCACUGCUAAUAGCAGUUAAACCAAUGCGCUAAUAGAUUCAUUAACUUCUCAGAGACCAUACAGCAGUAGAGGCAGACCUGAUGCAUCUUCACUUGUUGACAUCCACUCUCUCACCUCCUGCCUCACCCUUUGACAGGAUGUCCCAGCCAGAAAAGGAUGUCCCCCUACUCCCUCCUUCAGUGCACUGAUGUAUUCAAGGGUUCAGUAAACAUCUGAAAAUAUUCAUCACUGACAAUUGUGUGUCUUGAUUUAUCAAAAUCAAAACAAAGGCCCUUCAAAUGCUGAGCUCAUCUGAGUUCAUUAUGAUAAACGAUGAGAUCUUUAGAAGUCAGGUCUGUUUUCAUUCUUUGGGGCUCUGGGUCAUUUUCUAUGGAGCCCAAGUCUGUUUGGAAGAUGUUUCCAAAUAAACUCUUCUACAGACGUACUUUCCCUGUAAUCUUUGUACCGCCAUCUUACCGUCUUUGCAUAGCUCUUCUUGCUCCUAAAAACAAGACUGCAUAGUUGUACUCAUCCAACACCCAUGGGUGUAACCACACUAAUUCACAAUAAAAUACUGAACUGCUUCUAUAUUCUUGGCAACUAGCCAACAUCCAGUGGCCUCUAAGACCUUCCCACCGUCCCAGUCUUCGUGAAGCCAUGGAUUUAGCAGCCGCAGAAAACAAGUGGGAACCCACAUCUCCAUGACCCAAUUGCUUUUGGCUCGACUGGCAUUCCUAUCAAUAUGUCUAUGGAAAGCCAGGCACAGUGGCACACCCCUUUAACGCCAACACUCAAGAGGCAGAGAUAGGUAGAUGCCUUUGUGUUUGCAGUCAGCCUGGUCUACAGAGAUAGUUUCAGGACAGUUAGGGCUGCACAGAGAAACCCUGUCUCAAAACCCAAACCAAAACAAGUGUCUGGGGUGAUAGCCAGUUCUUUUUUUUUUUUUUUAAGAUUUUAUUUAUUAUUACGUAUAAGUACACUGUCGCUGUCUUCAGACACACCAGAAGAGGGUAUCAGAUCUCAUUACAGGUGGUUGUGAAUCACCAUGUGGUUGCUGGGAUUUGAACUCAGGACCUCUGGAAGAGCGGUCGGUGUUCUUAACCACUGAGCCAUCUCUCCAGCCUGAUAGCCAGUUCUUGUCUUGCAAAGCAACUCAUAAAAAUUUCUAUAUUUAGUCAAUUUCCAUAGGUAAUAAUGUCUUCAAGAACAAUCUGUCAGUAUAAACAUGCCAGCAUUAGUAGUACUAGUACUAGUAGUAGUAGUAGUAAUAGUAAUUUUUAAAAAUGCUAUUCUCUUGAUAGUUUUACAUUUUCAUAAAACUAUGUGCACACCCUCUGAUUCAAGGCCUGUAUUUUUAAUAGUGUCCAAGGUCUUCCCUACCAAAUUUCCAUUGCUAUAACACACAAACACAGGUACACACACACACACAUACACACACACACACACACACAGUGAGAGAGAGAGAGACAUAUUCAGACAUAUACACACACAUACACGUAUUAAGCUAACAGAAAUUAUUAUUGCUGUAUAGAAAUGAAUUGAAUCAUAUAUAACUCAAACCUACCUACUGCAGCCUAACUACUGUUCCUAUACAAGCCCCACACUCUUGGAAGGAAAGGCAUUCUGUAAACCUACAGAGCCUAUAGUGUAAAGAUGUAAUCUCUGUAGUUGCACUUUGUCUCCACAGGAAGCCCUACUUGUGUUUGUAAUUAAAGCAAACCCUCUUCAAGUAACCUGAUUUUUUUCUCUUCUGUUUUUGACAAGUCUAAUAUGAUUUAUAUGCCUUUUAGGGUGAGCUACACUGACAUUACUUGAAAAACAGAAGACACAUGAUGUAAAACACUUGCAUUUUCCCAGCAUGUAAUCAGCAGAAUAAAUGUCAGCCGCCAUUCGUAGAGGUAAUAUUACUAAUAGUAUUGUAUCUGUAAAGAAUAAAGCUUUCUUGUCCUCCUACCUGAGAUCCCACAAGGCUCCUGUCUUAGGCUUUCCAUUGUUAAGAGGAGGAAAGAGUUUAUUUCAUUUUACAACUCUCAGGUCAUUCUCCAUCAAUAUGGGAAGUCAGGGCAGGAAUUCAGGUAGGAACUUUGAUUCAGAAAGUGGAGCUGAGGAGAGAGGAAUCUUCUGACUGGCUUGCUUGUUAUGACUUCCUCAGUCAGCUUUCUUAUGUAAUUUAGGAUCACCUGCCCAGGUGUAGUAUCCUCCACAGUGGGCUGGGUCCUUCCACAUCAGUCAUUAAUCAAGAAAAUGUGAUAGACAUAUAGUUGAUCAUCCAGAGAGGUCAAGACAGGAACUUAAGGCAGGAACUCAGAGGCAGGAGCUGAUGCAGAGGCCAUGUAAGAGUGCUGCUUACUUGCUUGCUGCUCAUAGACUGCUCAGUCUGUUUUCUUAUAGCACCAAGGACCACCUGCCUGGGGGUGGCAACAGGGAUGGGUCUUCCCAUAUCAAUCAUUAAUCAAGAUAAUCAUUAAUCAAUAUCCUAUAGGCUUGUCUAUAGGCAAAUCAUUAAUCAAGACAACACCCCAUAGGCUUGCCUACAGACCAAUCAUUAAUCAAGACAACACCCCAUAGGCUUGCCUACAGGCCAAUAGGCUUGCCUACAGGCCAAUCAUUAAUCAAGGCAACACCCCAUAGACUUGCCUACAGGCCAAUCUUGCAGAGACAUUUUCUCAGUUGUGAUUCUCUCUCUUUGGAUCACUCUAGCUUGAGUCAAGCUGAUUCAGAACUAGCCAGUACAGCUCAUAUUGCUUUCAUUUAUUUUAUGUAUUUAUUUACUUACUUAUUUUCUUUCUUAGUGCCAAGGGUUGAACCUAGGACCUUGAACAGGAUAGGCAAGUGCUGUACCACUAAGCUACAUUCUCAGCCCUAACCAAACUGUAAUGGUUUAUAUUGAUUAUGAACUUGGCAGGGUCUGGAAUCAGGCUUGAUUAGAUUAACAGGUGGGAAGACCCAUUCUAAAACUGAGUGGUGCUACCUUAUCGGGUUGGGGACUCGACAACAGGGAAGAAGAACAAAGCUGAACAGAGGUCUUCAGGUUUCUCUACUUCCUGAUUGUGCCUGCAAUGCCAGGAGCUCCUCCAAGCUCCUGUGAUUGCCCUCCCUUGAUGGACUGUACCUCUGGGUGAGAGCAGAGAUAACCCCUGCCUUCUUCCUUCCUUCAGUUAUUGGUCUUUUUUUUUUUUUUUACAGCUACAGGAAAGGAGCUAAGACACAAAGUUUUUCCUUUGAGGUUGGGAUCCAGCUUAUCUCCAGCCAUCUCCCCACAAGGCACUUCUUCCAUUCACGUCUGGGUUAGCUGUCUCUUAUGCAAAGCAACUUGGGCUUGACCACACAGUUGUAACCCAAGUCUCUCCCACCCCCACAUUUUCUAGACAAUAGCUGUGUACAGGUAGGCAUUGUGGUUUGUAUUGGGAAUAUUCUCUGACAAUGCCCAUCCUGUAUCCCUAUUUGAAAGCUGUAGAGCUUCUAGGUGGUUAAGGUUAAGCCUUUGAAAGUCAUAGCUGCUUCACUAUGUGGUCACUGGUUUACUCCUGGGGUCCUUCAGUCCUAGUUGACACCAUUGUACAGAUCUUGGUCACACAUUCCCAUAGAGGCUCUCUGUUGUCCACAUCUUCUUCCUCUGCUGUAAUGGACUGAACUCACUCUGAACCAAAGUAAACAUUUUCUCCCUGAGUUGUUUCUGCCUGACAUUUGGUCAGAAUAGCUCAAAAAGAAUUAGCACAAAAGGAGAGUGAUCGAAAUCUUUCCCUCAUGACUGUCUUCUUAGGUUUUCUGUCAGUACUAUGUGUGUCAAGUCAGUACGUGAAGAGGAACUUGUACUCUCUCUUGAAGUCAAUCAGUGCUUUCAUUUUGAAGCAAUCCAUGUUGUAUGUGAUAAGACUGAAACCAAAACAGAAACAUGAACAUGUACCUAGCCACCCUGUGUUAAUAAUUGAAUGCCCCCUUUUUCUUAAGUUAACAUGUGUGUUUUUAUUCCGUGACAUCCAAAAUGGGGAAAAGAAGGUAUAUUCAAGGAAACGAUUAUAAAUGUCAUGUUAUUAUCAUUCAUUCUUUUGUUGUUGUUGUUGUUGUUGUUGUUUUGAGAUAGGAUCUCUUAUGUAUCUAUGACUGUCCUAGAACUCGCUAGACACAGUCUGGCAUUGAACUCACAGAGAUCCACCUGCCUCUGCCUCUGCCUCUGCCUCUGCCUCUGCCUCUGCCUCUGCCUCUGCCUCUGCCUCUGCCUCUGCCUCUGCCUCUGCCUCUGCCUCUGCCUCUGCCUCUGCCUCUGCCUCUGCCUCUGCCUCUUUCUAAACCAUAACGGAAGAAAACUAUUGACACUUCCUUUUCUAAUUUUUAAGGCUUAACUUUUUAAAUCACGUGCGUACGUGUGUGGGGCGGGGGCUGGCAUGUGCACUCAUGAGCACAGCUGUCCAUGGAGUUCAGAGCUGGAGUUACAGGCAGUUGAGAGCUAACUCGUGUGGAUGCUGGGAUUCUCAUUCAAGUCCUCUGCAAGAGCAACACACAUUCUUCCUCACUGAGACAUCCUCCAGCUCUUAUCAGUCACCAGGGCAUCCCCUGCCCCUAUUUGGUAGUUCUUCAAAGGGAGAGAUACAGAGUACUCUUGUGACUCAGGAAUUCCCCCUUCUAGUUAUAUAUAGAAUGAGGUUUCUUGAUCAAUAAGAUAUGUUGCAAGAAGUUAGAUAAUGAUGUCAUUCUCAGCUGCAUGUAGUGGUAUAUGGGCAUGGUUAAACACUUCUGUAAACCACUCUCCCCCACCCCACCCCAGAACUGGAGGCUAAGUAGAAGAAUCUUAAGUUCCAGGCGACACAUUAAGGUCCUGUUUAAAAUGCAUAAAUCUGAAAGGAAAGAGGGCCUUGUGCCUUAGGAAAAUGUUACCAGGGCAACUGUCUGAAGCCUUUGCCUAGGCAGAAAUUGGAGUAAAUUGUAAAUUACCUGCUUUCAGGUUCUGGGCAUCUUUGCUACGUAUGGGCUCAUAUUUCCUGAAGGAACCUGGGUUUCAUGGCAGGAUUUAUUUACCAGCAUAGUUUAUCCCAAGGGGAAAGGGGAAUGAACAUGGACUGAGGCUGUCUGCGGCUAAAAGAAAAUGAAAAGAAGGAUCUCCAGGCUUUGAUUGAGUUUGAGGAGAGAAAUGGAAGUCUCUAGACACAGCCUGGCAUUGAACUCACAGAGAUCCAUCUGUUUCUGCUUCUGCUUCUGCUUCUGCUUCUGCUUCUGCUUCUGCUACUGCUUCUGCCUCUGCCUCUGCCUCUGCCUCUGCCUCUGCCUCUGCCUCUGCCUCUGCCUCUGCCUCUGCCUCUGCCUCUGCCUCUGCCUCUGCCUCUGCCUCUGCGAAUGUGAUCACAAGUUUGAAUGAAGGGCUGCUCUGCCAGAUAUAAAGAGUGAUCGAAAGAGUAAACUGACCAAGUGGGGAGAAAGCACAGAGUGGGAGACAACUCUGUCCAUCUGAGCAAGUAAUUGCUAAGGAACUUGUCCUGAAAGGUCUGAAGAACCCUCACAGCUCACCAAGAAGACAACCCCAGCUUGGAAAUGGCUAGAGAACUUUGAUACGCUUUUGUAGAAGGGAAACGUGACCUUGGGGAGUGAGCAGGAAGAGUCUUCACUAUUCUUCAGGAAAACACAAUCAGAACCACAGUGACGUCCAGCAUUUAGCCACUGAUCAUCUGUCACCAAACCAGACCAAACCGAAAAUGAAACAAAAACAGAAAGAUAGAGGCAAAAGCAUGAGGCAAUUAGCAGCAGCCUCUGCAAGCUGCACGACUAUGGCGUUCUGCUUGAGCACAUAAGGCCAAGUGGUCGUGAACUGAAAUCACGUCCUCUGAAAUCACGGGCAAGAUAAAGCUUCCUUCUCUGAAGCUGUUCCUGCACUUUUGUUCAGGUAUUUUGGUUCCAGCUACAGAAAAGUAAGUAGUUCAAAACCAGUAAAUGUGUUUCUUUGAGCUCCAAGAGCCAUUCCAGCAAAUUAGUCAAACCUGAGAGACUCAUGGAUUACAGUCGGUUCGUCAGGGGCCUGGGUGACUCAGUUGACAAUUGGCAUCUGAAGAGGACAGAGCAUUGUGGGAGUGAGCCUUCAACCUGAGGGGUUCUGUUUCUGGGGAGAUAAUGUCAGAAUUGAAUUAUAGAACACUCAGUUGGUGACUCCUAGAGAAUUGCUUGGGGUGUGGAAACUCCCACACACCAGAUCACAAAAGCUUUCUGUGUUGCUCUGAGUGUAUGAGUAGAAAAGGAAAAAAAAAACAACUUGUUUUUCUCUUAACACACACACUCGCAUUUUAAAGAAGUAAUAGUCUUAAAUGUACCAAAUAAUUACAAAUUUAACUUUCAAUCUUGGCAGACUCCAUCAACAUUCAAAAUCCUGGUGAAUAAGAGAAAUUGUCUAAGAGCAAAUAAAAUUCAAUGCAAGCCUGCAGCAAAAAA